AUGGAUCGUUGCAUUGUGUGACAGAUUAUGAAGAAUGUGAAUUUCUGCCAAAUUAUGGACAUAAGCAAGAAGAGAGAAUACUAGUACACUUUAAUACCACAUCUACAGGCUGCAUCAAAGAGUCAAAGUCAAGAAUACCCAGCAAAAUGGAUUUUUUGUGCCACACCUCCGAAAAUCAUCAAAAAGAGGUUCCCCAAUGUGGCACUUCCACAGAUCAGACUUGAGCUGAGUGACUUGCUUUAAUAAAGCCAUCACGGGCUAAGUAAU